UAGCAAUAAUUAGUGUGUAGGGAACCCCAAACCCUAAAGGCAAGUGUUCUUAUUCCCUUAAUUAUAAAUACCCCACCGCAUGCAUCCUAUCCCUCAUAGCAAUCAUCCUAUCCCUUCAACACCAAUCCACCGUUUUUGAGAAUAAACAACCAACAAUGGGGGUUGUGAAGGAGGGGCCUUGGGGUGGAGAUAAAGAAGGGAAACCAUUCGACACGAAAACUGUCGGCUGGAUUUUGGGCUUCGAGGUCUGGUAUGAUGACUACAUUACCGGAAUCCGGUUCAAUUAUAA